rnacentral:rRNA from 1 species
UCAGAACGAACGCUGGCGGCAGGCUUAACACAUGCAAGUCGAACGCGUGUAGCAAUACACGAGUGGCGCACGGGUGAGUAACGCGUGGAUAUCUACCUUUUGGUUCGGAAUAACCCCGGGAAACUGGGGCUAAUACCGGAUGGUUCCUACGGGAUAAAGAUUUAUCGCCAAAAGAUGAGUCCGCGUCCGAUUAGCUAGUUGGUGGGGUAACGGCCUACCAAGGCGACGAUCGGUAGCUGGUCUGAGAGGACGAUCAGCCACACUGGGACUGAGACACGGCCCAGACUCCUACGGGAGGCAGCAGUGGGGAAUAUUGGACAAUGGGGGCAACCCUGAUCCAGCCAUGCCGCGUGAGUGAUGAAGGCCUUCGGGUUGUAAAGCUCUUUUGGCGGGGACGAUGAUGACGG